rnacentral:rRNA from 1 species
AGAGUUGUAUCCUGGCUCAGGAUGAACGCUAGCGGAAGGCUUAAUACAUGCAAGUCGAGCGGUAGAUGGUUUCGGCCAUUGAGAGCGGCGCACGGGUGAGUAACGCGUACAUGACCUGCCUAUCAGAAGGGGAUAGCCCUGGGAAACUGGGAUUAAUACCCUAUGGCAUUGUAUUUUUAAAUGGAUACAAUUAAAGCUGAGGCGCUGAUAGAUGGAUGUGCGUCUGAUUAGCUAGUUGGUGGGGUAAAGGCCUACCAAGGCAACGAUCAGUAGCUGGUCUGAGAGGACGACCAGCCACACUGGAACUGAGACACGGUCCAGACUCCUACGGGAGGCAGCAGUGGGGAAUUUUGGACAAUGGGCGCAAGCCUGAUCCAGCAAUGCCGCGUGAGUGAAGAAGGCCUUCGGGUUGUAAAGCUCUUUUGUCAGGGAAGAAACGGCGGUUUCUAAUACAGAUCGCUAAUGACGGUACCUGAAGAAUAAGCACCGGCUAACUACGUGCCAGCAGCCGCGGUAAUACGUAGGGUGCAAGCGUUAAUCGGAAUUACUGGGCGUAAAGCGUGCGCAGGCGGUUUUGUAAGUCUGUCGUGAAAUCCCCGGGCUCAACCUGGGAAUUGCGAUGGAGACUGCAAGGCUGGAGUUUGGCAGAGGGGGGUAGAAUUCCACGUGUAGCA